rnacentral:rRNA from 1 species
AUUGAACGCUGGCGGUAGGCCUAACACAUGCAAGUCGAACGGCAGCACAGAGGAGCUUGCUCCUUGGGUGGCGAGUGGCGGACGGGUGAGGAAUACAUCGGAAUCUACUCUGUCGUGGGGGAUAACGUAGGGAAACUUACGCUAAUACCGCAUACGACCUACGGGUGAAAGCAGGGGACCUUCGGGCCUUGCGCGAUUGAAUGAGCCGAGGUCGGAUUAGCUAGUUGGCGGGGUAAAGGCCCACCAAGGCGACGAUCCGUAGCUGGUCGGAGAGGAUAGUCAGCCACACUGGAAAUGAGACACGGUCCAGACUCCUACGGGAGGCAGCAGUCGGGAAUAUUGGACAAUGGGCGCCAGCUUGAUGCAGCCAUACCGCGUGGGUGAAGACGGCCUUCGGGUUGUAAAGCUCUUUUGUUGGGAAAGAAAGCCAGCUGGCUAAUACCCGGUUGGGACGACGGUACCCAAAGAAUAAGCACCGGCUAACUUCGUGCCAGACGCCGCCGUAA